rnacentral:rRNA from 1 species
GUGGGGAAUAUUGGACAAUGGGCGAAAGCCUGAUCCAGCCAUGCCGCGUGUGUGAAGAAGGUCUUCGGAUUGUAAAGCACUUUAAGUUGGGAGGAAGGGCAGUAAGUUAAUACCUUGCUGUUUUGACGUUACCGACAGAAUAAGCACCGGCUAACUUCGUGCCAGCAGCCGCGGUAAUACGAAGGGUGCAAGCGUUAAUCGGAAUUACUGGGCGUAAAGCGCGCGUAGGUGGUUUUGUAAGUUGGAGGUGAAAUCCCCGGGCUCAACCUGGGAACUGCCUCCAAAAGUGCAUGACUAGAGUACGGUAGAGGGUAGUGGAAUUUCCUGUGUAGCGGUGAAAUGCGUAGAUAUAGGAAGGAACACCAGUGGCGAAGGCGACUACCUGGACUGAUACUGACACUGAGGUGCGAAAGCGUGGGGAGCAAACAGGAUUAGAAACCCGAGUAGUCC